ACUGGCUCCAUCUACAGAGCCCAUGUAACGAGGAAGUCGCUUCUGGCUAGUUGUUGGCUUCAAUCCCAAGUCGCAGUUGGAAAGAGGCCUUGAAGAGUUGUUGUAGAAUAGUACUCCUUUAUUAGGGGUCCAACUCAAGGAUACAAAAGUAUAUAGUAUAUAAACUCUUUCUAUUUUUAUUUCGUAAAAUAAAUUCUGAGGUAAGCGACCCUUUUUUAUUCGGGUCAUGUAGACGCAUUUUGCCAUACCUUCUAAUUUAUUUAGGAUACAUUCUAACCGUAGAAGUUUAUUUUUAUCAAUAUAGAAAUGGCUCAAUUCCCAAGGUAAAAUGGGAUAUUUUAUACAAUGUCAAAAUCGUUUACUAAUGACACUAUAAGCUUCUUAUUGGCCUCGAUAGUUCAAUGACCUUACCUUUAGUCAUUAUAAACGAGAACACUUUUACGAUUCUCUUAUACCCAAGAAUGUAGUUGUACAAUGUACAAUAGAACGAAUUCCUGAAACCCUGAAACACUACUGGCUAGUGGCUACAUAAUAUACCGUUGAGCAAUUCUCGUACUUUCCCAGCGCUGCGACCUUGUAAAAGAUCAUUCAAGGAACAGGAAGUUUUAGUUCACAGCGUUUGGCCGUCUUAAAAAAAUGAGGAAGCGCACUACAGGACCAAAAGGCUCUUUUUUUCUUCUAAGGAUAAAGAAAAUGUCGAGUCAGAUUCCCCAGUGGCAAGGUCAAAGCCCCUUCUAUUUCAGCUUCUCAACACGUCAUAAUGUGAAAACACGAAAAAGAAAAAAGUAUAAUUUUAAUACAGUUGUUCAUCAGAUUAAAUUUUCAGUCUGCAAAGGCUUUUAUCACAACGCCAUCAGCUGUGUAAAGCAUGCGUACACAUUGCGGAAAUUAAAUUUUUAAAGCGAGUA